AUUGAACGCUGGUGGUAUGCUUAACACAUGCAAGUCGAACGGUAACAUUGGAGCUUGCUCCAGAUGACGAGUGGCGGACGGGUGAGUAACGCGUAGGAAUCUGCCUAGUAGUGGGGGACAACAUGUGGAAACGCAUGCUAAUACCGCAUACGCCCUACGGGGGAAAGCGAGGGAUCUUCGGACCUCGCGCUAUUAGAUGAGCCUGCGUUAGAUUAGCUAGUUGGUGGGGUAAUGGCCUACCAAGGCGACGAUCUAUAGCUGGUCUGAGAGGACGAUCAGCCACACUGGGACUGAGACACGGCCCAGACUCCUACGGGAGGCAGCAGUGGGGAAUAUUGGACAAUGGGCGAAAGCCUGAUCCAGCAAUACCACGUGUGUGAAGAAGGCCUGAGGGUUGUAAAGCACUUUCAAUUGGGAGGAAAACAGCUGGGUUUAAUAGCCCUGCUCUUGACAUUACCUUUAGAAGAAGCACCGGCUAACUCCGUGCCAGCAGCCGCGGCAAUACGGAGGGUGCGAGCGUUAAUCGGAAUUACUGGGCGUAAAGCGUACGUAGGCGGUUAUUUAAGUCAGAUGUGAAAGCCCCGGGCUCAACCUGGGAACUGCAUUUGAUACUGGAUAACUAGAGUUUGAUAGAGGAGAGUAGAAUUUCUGGUGUAGCGGUGAAAUGCGUAGAGAUCAGAAGGAAUACCAGUGGCGAAGGCGGCUCUCUGGAUCAAAACUGACGCUGAGGUACGAAAGCGUGGGUAGCAAACAGGAUUAGAUACCCUGGUAGUCCACGCCGUAAACGAUGUCAACUAGCCGUUGGGUCCAAUUAAGGACUUAGUGGUGCAGCUAACGCAUUAAGUUGACCGCCUGGGGAGUACGGCCGCAAGGCUAAAACUCAAAUGAAUUGACGG
rnacentral:rRNA from 1 species